rnacentral:rRNA from 1 species
UGGGGAAUAUUGGACAAUGGGCGGAAGCCUGAUCCAGCAACGCCGCGUGAGGGAUGACGGCCUUCGGGUUGUAAACCUCUUUCAGUACCGACGAAGCGAAAGUGACGGUAGGUACAGAAGAAGGACCGGCCAACUACGUGCCAGCAGCCGCGGUAAUACGUAGGGUCCGAGCGUUGUCCGGAAUUAUUGGGCGUAAAGGGCUCGUAGGCGGUUUGUCGCGUCGGGAGUGAAAACAGCGGGCUUAACUCGUUGCUUGCUUUCGAUACGGGCAGACUAGAGGUAUGCAGGGGAGAAUGGAAUUCCUGGUGUAGCGGUGAAAUGCGCAGAUAUCAGGAGGAACACCGGUGGCGAAGGCGGUUCUCUGGGCAUUACCUGACGCUGAGGAGCGAAAGUGUGGGGAGCGAACAGGAUUAGAUACCCUGGUAGUCCACACCGUAAAACCGUUGGGGNGCUAGGUGUGGGGUCCUUUCCACGGAUUCCGUGCCGUAGCUAACGCAUUAAGCGCCCCGCCUGGGGAGUACGGCCGCAAGGCUAAAACUCAAAUGAAUUGACGGGGUCAUAGCUGUUUUCCU